GCGGACGGGUGAGUAACGCGUGGGUAACCUACCCUGUACAGGGGGAUAACAGUCAGAAAUGACUGCUAAUACCGCAUAAGACCACAGCACCGCAUGGUGCAGGGGUAAAAACUCCGGUGGUACAGGAUGGACCCGCGUCUGAUUAGCUGGUUGGUGAGGUAACGGCUCACCAAGGCGACGAUCAGUAGCCGGCUUGAGAGAGUGAACGGCCACAUUGGGACUGAGACACGGCCCAAACUCCUACGGGAGGCAGCAUG
rnacentral:rRNA from 1 species